CUAACAAGUAUUCCCUUAGUAACGGCGAGUGAACAGGGAAAAGCCCAGCACCGAAGCCUAUGUCUAAUUGGGCAUUAGGCAAUGUGGUGUUUAGGUCUUUCUUUGGAGGCGCUGCUCCACUCCAAGUCCAGCACUGAGUACGGUAAUCUGGAAAUGGCCCACAGAGGGUGACAGGCCCGUGGGGGUGGAGAUGCAGGUACGACAGAGUCUCCUUAGAUUGACCUUGGAGUCGGGUUGUUUGUGAAUGCAGCCCAAAGUGGGUGGUAAACUCCAUCCAAGGCUAAAUACUUGCACGAGUCCGAUAGUAAACAAGUACCGUGAGGGAAAGUUGAAAAGUACUUUGAAGAGAGAGUAAACAGUGCGUGAAACCGCUCAGAGGUAAACGGGUGGAGUUGAACUGCAUGCUUCGAGAAUUCAGCUGGUGAGUGUGGUUUGGACAUGGUCAGAUUGGUUGAAUGCCAGGGUCUGUGUAGUAGCAGGUCUUCACUUUCGGGUGUUGAUGCGCGAUGCACUUAUCAAGUGUUGUGCGCUCUGGUUUUUUUCGAGCUGACUUGCCAGUGCACUUUCUCGGAGAGUUCACCACGACCGGUAUGUUGCUUGGCUAUUGCGGUUAAACCGGUUUUGCAUUGCUCUUGUGGUUUUGCUUGAUCGGGAUGGCAGGUAGCUUGUUGGCUUGUUUGGGGUUUUCUCUAAACGGCUUUCGAGUGUAAUAGCUGACCGUAAUGGUUCUAUGCGGUGUGCCGGAGACGGCGGUCAUUGGUGUGUGCAUGCGUGCCUGUACGGCUGACAGUUCCAAUUUUGGUUGCUAUGUUGCUUGUUAAAGCAGGCCUGGUGAUAUUUUGGUUCUGUUUGGUUGGCGGUUGCGUGUGUGACACUUUCCAGGGCCAAUAGUCUGUGGUGUAGUGGUAGACUUCCACCUGACCCGUCUUGAAACACGGACCAAGGAGAGUAACAUGUGCGCGAGUCAUUGGGCGUAACGAAACCCACAGGCGCAGUGAAAGUAAAGGUCUGGCUUGUCUGGACUGAGGUGAGAUCCUGUCGUUUCCUACGCGUGGUACCACCAUGUGUCGAGCGGCAGGCGCAUCACCGGCCCGUCCCAUGGCGUAGUUACAUAGUCUGCGGAUCAGUGCAGCACCGGGGCGGAGCAUGAGCGCACAUGUUGAGACCCGAAAGAUGGUGAACUAUGCUUGCGAAGGUUGAAGCCAGAGGAAACUCUGGUGGAGGACCGUAGCGAUUCUGACGUGCAAAUCGAUCGUCAAAUGUGAGUAUAGGGGCGAAAGACUAUCGAAC
rnacentral:rRNA from 1 species